rnacentral:rRNA from 1 species
CAGCCGCCGCGGUAACACGUAGGGUGCGAGCGUUAAUCGGAAUUACUGGGCGUAAAGCGUGCGCAGGCGGUUAUAUAAGACAGAUGUGAAAUCCCCGGGCUCAACCUGGGACCUGCAUUUGUGACUGUAUAGCUAGAGUACGGUAGAGGGGGAUGGAAUUCCGCGUGUAGCAGUGAAAUGCGUAGAUAUGCGGAGGAACACCGAUGGCGAAGGCAAUCCCCUGGACCUGUACUGACGCUCAUGCACGAAAGCGUGGGGAGCAAACAGGAUUAGAUACCCCAGUAGUCCCUGUCUCUUAUAC